rnacentral:rRNA from 1 species
CCUACGGGUGGCAGCAGUGAGGAAUAUUGGUCAAUGGGCGGAAGCCUGAACCAGCCAAGUAGCGUGCAGGAUGACUGCCCUAUGGGUUGUAAACUGCUUUUAUACGGGAAUAACGCGCCUUACGUGUAGGGCUUUGCAUGUACCGUAUGAAUAAGGACCGGCACAUUCCGUGCCAGCAGCCGGGGUAAACCGGAAGGUCCGGGCGUUAUCCGGAUUUAUUGGGUUUAAAGGGAGCGUAGGCCGGAUGUCAAGCGUGCUGUGAAAUGUCCGGGCUCAACCCGGGCCUUGCAGCGCAAACUGGCGUGCUUGAGUCCGCGGAAAGCAGGCGGAAUUCGUCGUGUAGCGGUGAAAUGCUUAGAUAUGACGAAGAACCCCGAUUGCGAAGGCAGUUUGCUGCAGCAGAACUGACGCUGAUGCUCGAAAGCGCGGGUAUCGAACAGGAUUAGAUACCCGGGUAGUC